CCUACGUGGGGCAGCAGUGGGGAAUAUUGCGCAAUGGGCGAAAGCCUGACGCAGCGACGCCGCGUGAGGGAUGAAGGCCCUCGGAUUGUAAACCUCCGUUAGCAGGGAAGAACGGUCACUGUGCUAAUCAGCAGUGAAUUGACGGUACCUGCAAAGGAAGCACCGGCUAACUCCGUGCCAGCAGCCGCGGUAAUACGGAGGGUGCGAGCGUUAAUCGGAAUUAUUGGGCGUAAAGCGCUCGUAGGGGGUAUGUCAAGUCAAGGGUGAAAUCCCCGGGCUCAACGUGGGAACUGCCUUUGAAACUGGCAAGCUGGAGUGUGUGAGAGGAUGGUGGAAUGCCAGGUGUAGGGGUGAAA
rnacentral:rRNA from 1 species